rnacentral:rRNA from 1 species
GAUGAACGCUGGCGGCGUGCCUAAUACAUGCAAGUCGAGCGAACAGACGAAGAGCUUGCUUCUCUGAUGUUAGCGGCGGACGGGUGAGUAACACGUGGAUAACCUACCUAUAAGACUGGGAUAACUUCGGGAAACCGGAGCUAAUACCGGAUAAUAUUUUGAACCGCAUGGUUCAAUAGUGAAAGACGGUCUUGCUGUCACUUAUAGAUGGAUCCGCGCUGCAUUAGCUAGUUGGUAAGGUAACGGCUUACCAAGGCAACGAUGCAUAGUCGACCUGAGAGGGUGAUCGGCCACACUGGAACUGAGACACGGUCCAGACUCCUACGGGAGGCAGCAGUAGGGAAUCUUCCGCAAUGGGCGAAAGCCUGACGGAGCAACGCCGCGUGAGUGAUGAAGGUCUUCGGAUCGUAAAACUCUGUUAUUAGGGAAGAACAUAUGUGUAAGUAACUGUGCACAUCUUGACGGUACCUAAUCAGAAAGCCACGGCUAACUACGUG